rnacentral:rRNA from 1 species
GUUGAACGCUGGCGGCAUGCCUUACACAUGCAAGUCGAACGGCAGCACGGGCUUCGGCCUGGUGGCGAGUGGCGAACGGGUGAGUAAUACAUCGGAACGUGCCCUGUAGUGGGGGAUAACUAGUCGAAAGAUUAGCUAAUACCGCAUACGACCUGAGGGUGAAAGCGGGGGACCGUAAGGCCUCGCGCUACAGGAGCGGCCGAUGUCUGAUUAGCUAGUUGGUGGGGUAAGAGCCUACCAAGGCGACGAUCAGUAGCUGGUCUGAGAGGACGAUCAGCCACACUGGGACUGAGACACGGCCCAGACUCCUACGGGAGGCAGCAGUGGGGAAUUUUGGACAAUGGGGGCAACCCUGAUCCAGCAAUGCCGCGUGUGUGAAGAAGGCCUUCGGGUUGUAAAGCACUUUUGUCCGGAAAGAAAUGGCUCUGGUUAAUACCUAGGGUCGAUGACGGUACCGGAAGAAUAAGCACCGGCUAACUACGUGCCAGCCGCCGCGGUAACAC